rnacentral:rRNA from 1 species
GUCCUAGCCGUAAACGAUGAACACUAGGCGUAGUCGGUAUCGACCCCGGCUGUGCCGAAGCUAACGCAUUAAGUGUUCCGCCUUGGGAGUACGGCCGCAAGGCUAAAACUCAAAGGAAUUGACGGGGCCCGCACAAGCAGCGGAGCGUGUGGUUUAAUUCGUCGCAACGCGAAGAACCUUACCAGGGCUUGACAUGCACCGGAAAACGGCGGAAACGUCGUCCUCCCGCAAGGGAUCGGUGUGCAGGUGUUGCAUGGCUGUCGU